AAAGAUCGCAGCCUUCGGCAGCUCCUACAGGGAAACGCAUUCCAAUGUAGAAGCUGCCGAAGGCUGCGAUCUUU
rnacentral:antisense_RNA from 1 species